rnacentral:rRNA from 1 species
GAUGAACGCUGGCGGCGUGCCUAAUACAUGCAAGUCGAGCGAACAGACGAGGAGCUUGCUCCUCUGACGUUAGCGGCGGACGGGUGAGUAACACGUGGAUAACCUACCUAUAAGACUGGGAUAACUUCGGGAAACCGGAUCUAAUACCGGAUAAUAUAUUGAACCGCAUGGUUCAAUAGUGAAAGACGGUUUUGCUGUCACUUAUAGAUGGAUCCGCGCCGCAUUAGCUAGUUGGUAAGGUAACGGCUUACCAAGGCAACGAUGCGUAGCCGACCUGAGAGUGUGAUCGGCCACACUGGAACUGAGACACGGUCCAGACUCCUACGGGAGGCAGCAGUAGGGAAUCUUCCGCAAUGGGCGAAAGCCUGACGGAGCAACGCCGCGUGAGUGAUGAAGGUCUUCGGAUCGUAAAACUCUGUUAUUAGGGAAGAACAAAUGUGUAAGUAACUAUGCACGUCUUGACGGUACCUAAUCAGAAAGCCACGGCUAACUACGU